GUGUUGUAUGAAAGGAGAGAAGAUUAGCACUCCCCUUGAUAAGGAUGGAAGAGGCCCUUACAGCCUAUACAACAUGGAUACAGUUAAGGCACUGUCACCUACUUUGUGGCAUCUAACCAUUUUUA
ensembl:snRNA